rnacentral:misc_RNA from 1 species
AAUGGCAUCUCACGAUCAGUCUUUCAGAGCUGGCGAGGCCACUGGCCUAGCUGAGGAGAAGGGUGACCGGGUGACCAAUACUGCGAAGGAGAAGGGCAGAGACGUGAAAGACAGGACCUACCAGACAGCCCAACAGGCCAAGCAGAAGACAGCAGAGACCGCCGAGGCAACCGAGGAGAAGGUUUUUGAAGGGAAGGAGAAGACCAAGGGGGUCUUCCAGCAGACUGGGGAGAAAGUGAAGCAAGUUGCUCAAAGUGCUGCUGAUACUGUGAAGAGUACUCUUGGGAUGGGUCAAAAUCGUGAUGAUGAGAAUAAGACCCAUACUGGUUAUGAGCACACUACAACUUACAGAGAUUAGCUAGGUAGCUAGUCGCCAGAACCAAUGGAAGAUUUCAGCUAGUUUCGUAGGAGACUUUAUUUUGUUGUGGUUUUCAGUGUCGUGUCUUUUUUGUCCUGUCACCACCAUGGCUAUGGUACUGGUGUGUUCUUGGACUUUUCAAAGAUGAUGCUUUUAACAUCUUCUAGGGGAAGUCCAAAAAUAAAAAGGGUCUAGUGUUCGAGGC